GAGGGUGUAGCUCAGUGGCAGAGUACACAUGUUACAUGCACAAGGUCCUGGGUUCAAUCCCCAGUGCCUCCG
rnacentral:tRNA from 1 species